ACGAAGGGGGCUAGCGUUGCUCGGAAUUACUGGGCGUAAAGGGAGCGUAGGCGGAUAGUUUAGUCAGAGGUGAAAGCCCAGGGCUCAACCUUGGAAUUGCCUUUGAUACUGGCUAUCUUGAGUAUGGAAGAGGUAUGUGGAACUCCGAGUGUAGAGGUGAAAUUCGUAGAUAUUCGGAAGAACACCAGUGGCGAAGGCGGCUCACUGGCCCGGUACUGACGCUGAGGUGCGAAAGCGUGGGGAGCAAACAGGA
rnacentral:rRNA from 1 species